rfam:Emmonsia parva TAMH 139 supercont1.2763, whole genome shotgun sequence.
GGGCAAUUGGUUUAGUGGUAUAAUAUCCCCUUAGCAUCGAUCCGGAGGUUCAAUUCCGGAGUCACGUGACUGGGGAUGGUCCAGGGUUCGAUUCCCUGAUUGUCCA